rnacentral:lncRNA from 1 species
AGUCACCACACCUUUGUGAUUCCUGAACCUGGAGGGGCGCAAAACCAAAAUUGAGUGGGUCAGUAAAACAAUUCUUUUCCAAAUCCAAACAUUUCUCAAAACGUUGUAACCCCUCUCCGUAAAACUUGUAUACUUUCCUAGAAAUGUAAAAUAUAAAUAUACAUAUAUAUUCUCAAAACUUCAUUUUUACUAUCUCAACAUUUUUCUUUAUCAAUCAUACCAUGCCAUGUCUAAAUCUAUCACUCUAAUAGCCCUGUACGGUUGAACCUAGAGUUCAAAAUCUAUCACUCUCAUUCUGCCGGAGUCACCUCUGUGACCUGUCCGGCCUUCUGCACACAAGUUACGCUCUAGUGCUUUCUCAUCAAUCAUCUGUGCACAUAAUCUAAGAUCACCCACCAGUCGAAAUCUCACUAACACUCUACGACUGGCCCGUCGCACCCACUCCGCGUGGACUGUGCGACCAGCAUCUACUUGGAUCCAAGGCGAGCGUGCGAUGCGGUGAAUACUAUAAGCACUAAAUCAUGGUGCAGGAUUUGAGCUCAAUAUAUAUCAACAUCAUCAUAACAAUAUUUAAAUACUCACCUGUGCGUCCGCCGCACCAAUUCAUACAUAUGCAUCAUAUAUCAAUUCAUAUCAUUUCAUGCAUGGCAAUUCGAUUCACAUUUUUCAUAUAAUUUUAUAUACUUUUCGCAUACUUCUAUGCAUGACAUUUCAACUAAUAUAUCUCAUAUACUUUUAUACAUUUUCAUUUAAAGCAUAAUUUCAUGCAUUUUCAAUUUCUGGGAAAAACGGUAAGUAUAUAUGUAUACGGAAAACAAAACUGCCCACUCACCUGGAGUUCGCCCUACAACUCCCUAGCACAAUACGCCAAGGCGUCAUGACGAUCGGCGCCUAAAACAAUAAUCAAUUCAAACCUCAGAAUUCAUAUCGAUAGAAUAUAUAACUUAUAUAAAAUACGUCACUACGUAGUUCGAUCCGGGAGAUCCACCACUCAGAUUUUAAAUCCAUAACUUCCAGAGGUCCACAAUAUAUCUCUAGGAUAACAUCCUAAAAUUUCAUUACCAUCCAACGGUCGGAUCUCCGUCAAUUUCCAAAACUAAGUGACGGUUACAUUCUAUUUUAUGAACUUACAACUCCAAUUCCGGAAGAUCCGUAAAUCGGAUUCCCAAUCCGUAAGUUCCAAUAAUCCUCAAAUAUUACGUAUUACAACGUAUCAAAGUUUGGUAACGAUCCAACGGUCUGAUCAUCAAUUCACAUUUUCACCUACGCGCCAGGGAAGGCACGGACGUCGACAUAUUUUUAAAAUAAUUUUUUACUGUAGCACGCGCCCCCACGCGCCAGGGAAGGCACGGGUCCACGCGCCGCCACGCGCACCUUCUUCUUCCUUGGGUCGCAGGACUGGUUUUUCCGGCGGUCGUUUUUCAAAUUGCCAUAACUUUGUCAUUUCUCAACGAAAUCAAGUGAUUUAAAAACGAAAGUUGUAGCCCUUGAAGAGACAAAGAGAAUGGUACCUUGCACAACACCUAGUUCGCCGUGGUUUGGCCGGAAACUUCCUCGAAAGCCUCGGAAGUCGCCGGAAACUGGGUAUUUUUCAAAUGAGUAUAACUUCUUCAAUACUCAACGAAAUUGAGCAAAACAAAAAGGAAAGUUGUAGUACUUGACGAGACGAAGAGAUUGAUACCUACCUCGACUCCUAACGCGCCGGGGAUUCGUCGGAAAAAGCCUCGAAAGCUCCGGCCAAACUUUGAACUUGUCGAUCUCCGUGUUCUUACGUCCAAAAACUUCCAACGAAGCACUCCGAGCUUCCUUGAGACCUCACUAAGCUUCCUACAAGCUUGUUUUAGCCUAAAACGUAACCAUUUAAAAGAUCAUGAACAGUGCUCUUCACGAGAAUUUUGAAACUAGGGUUUUCCGAACCAAAACUUACCUGAAAUGGAUACCAUCGUGAUCGUGGAGGUUCCAGGAGUUUGAUGGUGGUCUUAACUCCGUCGUUGGUGGAAGUUUAAGGUUGUUUUGUGGUUGGUUUGUUCGAACGGAGAAGAAGAGUGACAGAGAGAGUGAGAGAGUCGUGGGAAGAGAGAGAGAGACAGCAUGCAGAAAAUAGGGAGAGGAUUGAGGGGUGUGGGGAUCCCACGUGGUCAUUUUCCAAUCCCCAACUCCAAACCACAAAAUUUUAACCUAAAAAUCUAAGUUCCAUCCUUAUUAAUUCCAUUUUAUUGUCACAGCCCGUCCCGGAAUUUUAAUUCCGAGGACGUGAAAAGACGAAAAUGCCCUUAAACGGGACUAAGGGGCGAAAAUUUAACAAUUUGGAUUGAGUUGGACACGUGGGAUCCCCACAUCCCUCAAAACCUUCCCCAAUUCCCGUACCUUGUCUCUCUCUCUCUCCUCCCUCACGAAACUCUCAGUUCUCUCCCUCUCUUUCGAAUUCACACGGACCACCACAAAACCACCCUAAAUCUAUACCAACGACGAAUCUAAGACCACCAUUGGAACCCUGAAGACUUCACGAUCACGAUGGUAUCCAUUUCAGGUAAGUUUUGCUUCGAAAAACCCUAGUUUCAAAGUUCCCGUGAAAUGGUACUGUUCAUGAUCUUUUAAAUGGUUACGAUUUAGGCUAAAACAAAAUCACAGCGAGCUUAGUGAGGUCCCAAGGAAGCUCGGAGUGCUUCGUUGGAAGUUUUUGGACGUAAGAACACGGAGAUCGACAAGUUCAAAGUUUGGCCGGAGCUUUCGAGGCUUUUUCCGGCGAAUCCCCGGCGAAUUAGGAGUCGAGGUAGGUAUCAAUCUCUUCGUCUCGUCAAGUACUACAACUUUCCUUUUUGUUUCACUCAAUUUUGUUGAGUAUUGAAUAAGUUAUACUCAUUUGAAAAAUACCCAGUUUUCGGCGACCUCCGAGGCUUUCGAGGAAGUUUCCGGCAAAACCACGGCGAACUAGGUGUUGUGCAAGGUACCAUUCUCUUUGUCUCUUCAAGGGCUACAACUUUCGUUUUUGAAUCACUUGAUUUCGUUGAGAAAUGACAAAGUUA